CUUCACUGCAGAUGUAUUGGAAGAAUAAAGAAAACUUGUUUAUCCUUGGAUUCUGAUCUACUCUGAUCAGCCAGUAUUUAUUUCAGGAUUGUCGCAGUUUAUUUACCGUCAUCAUGAUUCACGGUUGUGAUUUAAUUAGGUUAAAAGUUUCAAGAGUGUCGUCAACGAUUUACCCAGUUUUUAAAAAACGUCUUGUGGAUAUUUAUUGCUUUUAAAGAUGGCUUAAGGUAAUCUGAUUUAAUUCUUUUAAUCCACUUUAAAAAAGAAUUAUGUUCUUUUACCUGUAAAAAAUUAAUUUUUAAACCCAAAUUUUCUUGGAAUAUUUAACGAGUUUAUCACUGUGGUAGUUUGAUGUCUUACAGUGAGACUGACAAAGCUCUGGAAUGGGAAGACGAUAUUAAAUUGUACGUGUAUUAAAGUAAAAAAGGCAGCUUUACCAGUAUUUUAAAAAUAAACUUUAAGUGAAUUGUGUCUGUGUACAUACCAUGUACACUGCAUAUUUUCUGUGUUUAAUGCUCAUUUAUUUAUUCAAAAUAAUAACACUUCUUCCUAUUCCACAGUUUUAUGGGUCCCUCUCUAUAUAAUGCAUGUUAAAAAUGUACUUGCAAAAGAAAUAUUUAUUGUCAUUUAUCAUAUAUAAAGGUUGUAUUUAUCAUAUUUGAAAAUAAAACUUUAUUGAAAAAAA